rnacentral:rRNA from 1 species
UACGAAGGGGGCUAGCGUUGCUCGGAAUCACUGGGCGUAAAGGGUGCGUAGGCCGGGUCUUAAGUCAGGGGUGAAUCCUGGAGCUCAACUCCAGAACUGCCUUUGAUACUGAGGAUCUUGAGUUCGGGAGAGGUGAGUGGAACUGCGAGUGUAGAGGUGAAAUUCGUAGGAUAUUCGCAAGAACACCAGUGGCGAAGGCGGCUCACUGGCCCGAUACUGACGCUGAGGCACGAAAGCGUGGGGAGCAACAGGG